rnacentral:rRNA from 1 species
UACAGAGGUCUCAAGCGUUGUUCGGAUUCAUUGGGCGUAAAGGGUGUGUAGGUGGUCGGGUAAGUCUGAUGUGAAAUCUCCGGGCCUAACCCGGAAACUGCAUCGGAUACUAUUCGGCUAGAGGGUUGGAGGGGGGACUGGAAUACUUGGUGUAGCAGUGAAAUGCGUAGAUAUCAAGUGGAACACCAGUGGCGAAGGCGAGUCCCUGGACAACUCCUGACACUGAGGCACGAAAGCUAGGGGAGCAAACAGG